rnacentral:lncRNA from 1 species
CGCAUUGGAGUCAACAUGGGCCAGCAUCCCUGUGGAACUCUUUCGACGAAUUGAGUCUGUUCUGAGGGCAAAAUGGGGUGGUGCAACUCAAUAUUAGGAAGGUGACAAUCAUCACUCCCCAAUCAGUCACCAAUCAGCCACAAUCAGAAGACACCUGUUCCUUUUCCCUCAACCAAUCACAUCCCCUUUCCCUUGGUUUAAAAACCCAUUCAGUUGUUUUCUCCCCAGAUCAAUCUCUGUGUCUUCUCGCUGUGUCUUCGUCUCUCUGUCUGUAUUGAUCUCUCUUUUGUUUUGCAACUACAUGUCACAUUUGUCUGGUUAUCCUGUGAGUAUUGUUUUGUUGGUUGACUGUUUGUUUGUUUGGUGGGAAAAGGGGGUACCAAGACAAGUCGCCCAUGGGCAUACAUUACCCGUAGGAAUACUUUGUCUAAGUACCCUAGUUAGACCUGGGCGGACCACCCACUGUAUUUUUGGUUAGUUAGCUAGCUGUUAUUGAAGUAGAUUAGUUUAGG